rnacentral:lncRNA from 1 species
AAAAAAGUACUCCAUUAUUUUCAUAAAAUAAUAUCAAAUUAUGACUACCUUUAAAGUAUAAUUUAUUGGAUAAACUACACCGUAGGUCAUUCUAAACUAGUAUUAUUUCUAUUUUGGUCACUCUAUAAUUGCUCAAAUUAGUCACUGACAUGACUUUUUUUUUUACUUUUGACUAAAGCCAGGGACUUUGCUAUAAUUAGCCCAAAACAUUUGUUUUUGUUUAUUUGCAACAUAAGAACCACAUAUCCUUGUCACCACUCAUCCCUUGCUUUCCAUCUCUAUUGCUCCUCACUGCACCAUAAAAACCACGUUUCAUCACUGUAUAGCCCAAAUUUCGCCCGGGCCCAAUAACAGUCCAGAUUACAAAAAACAAAAUAGCAGGCCCAAACCCGGAGCCCAAAACAAGGCCCAACUGGCCCAACCCGCUCAAAGCUAAGCUAGGGUUUCAGAAGAGAAACCCUAGCGCCGCACCUAAGGUCUUUAGACCUUUAGUCUUCCGGCGCCGCCUUCACCAGCACUGUCACGCCACCACCUCACGUCCCAUCGCCACUUGCCUGCAACACCAGAGAAGGAAAUGACAAGAAAAAAUAAUAAUAAUAGAAUACAAGUUGUAAAUGGCUAUAAAGCUAUAACAGAAAUCAAAAAAAGGGGGGACCGAACUUCAUUCUUGUAACGGGGGGGUUUCUUUUUUUGUUAACGUUUUCAGAAAUAAAAAGCAAAAAAAAAAGAGUUUAAAGGUGAUUGUCGGUUCCCUUUUAUUUUCGUUUUCUUCUCAGAUAUUUUAAUUUUUUUUGUUUAUUUAUUUAUAUAAACAUAUAAUAUAAAGAGAAAAGUGCAAAAAAAAAUACCUUUCUUGAAUUUUCUGGCCAACGUGUACGGUGGCAGGCGCGGCGGCGUCAACGGCGACCCUCCAUGCCGGAUUCUGGGCUGAGGGAGGGAGAGAGAAACUUGAGAGGUUUUUUUUCAGUUUUUUUUAGAAGGAGAAGAAGAAAAUG